GACGAACGCUGGCGGCGUGCUUAACACAUGCAAGUCGAACGGAGUGGCGAACGGGUGAGUAACACGGGGGGGACCUGCCCUGCACUUCGGGCUAAGCCUGGGGAACUGGGUCUAAUACCGGAUAGUGUGGGAUGGGCCCGCGGCCUAUCAGCUUGUUGGCGGGGUAAUGGCCUACCAAUGGGGCGGCGGGUAGCCGGCCUGGGAGGGUGGACGGCCACAAUGGGCCUGAGACAGGGACCAGAAGGCGACGGGAGGCAGCAGUGGGGAAUAUUGCAGAAGGGGCGGAAGUCUGAGGCAGCGACGCCGCGUGGGGGAUGACGGCCUUCGGGUUGUAAACUCCUUUCACCAUCGACGCGGUAGAUGGAGAAGAAGCACCGGCUAACUACGUGCCAGCAGCCGCGGUAAUAC
rnacentral:rRNA from 1 species